AGAAGUCCUUCUUACGGGAGUGCAAAGAGCAAGUCUCUCCAGUUUGUGUUCCCACCUGCAUCAGGUUCUGCAUCGGCUUCAGCAUGCUGCCUGGCGCCCCGACACCGGCGCCGGCCAGCACCGCCGCGCCACCACCAUGCAAGCCAUGAUGCUGCCAGCGAGUUACUUCUUAAAUAUUACUAAUACAUAAUAUCUAUGUAAUAAAGUGUCCUAUAGCUCCGGCUAUGUGCCAACUGCCGUCCAGAUGAAGCAUGCCUGUAAUGCGUUGUCAUCGGUGUUCAUGAGCUAAGCCUCAAGAAUAUGUAUCUGAUCCGGUGUUUAAUGGGGGUAUAAAUUCCCCCCUUAUCGUUCUGGUUGUUUUCUAGUUACUCAUCUCUGUGUGCAGAACUCUAUACUCCCUGUUGGGGAACUGAUCUCCGUGUUGAGUUCUUUGUCUUUCAGUGUCUAGAGUCUAAGACCUUGGACAAAGAUCGAAGGUGAUGUGGCCCUUUGGAGAAAAGACAGAGGCUUACAAUUCAUCAGGUGAUAUGGUAUGUUUCACUCUCCUAAAGCAGAGGAGACUUCACUAGAUAAGCAAGAGGGGUUUCGCCAAUUAAGCCGGAUGGGCUUCGCUUGUCAGAAGAGUGAAAGGUGUCAAGAAGUUACACGAACGUGUGUGGAGAGGAAGAGAAGAAGCUUCAGUGCAUAUACAUGUCACCAUGUUCUUGGUAAGUUGGCUUGGAAUACAAAUCCUCUGAAACAAUUUUCUUCCAAACUGCGUAUUCAUUUUUAAAACUGUUUGCACCAGUAUAUUAUUUAUGGUUAAUUCAACAAAACUAUGUCACACACAUAUAUAUUUUUUAAAAAUUAAAUGUAGAAAUAAAGCUUUGGAAAUUUUUCUGUUUACUUGAAAUUUUUAUUCUAAAUUAACUUUUUAUUCUAUCCGGAAUAUUUCUUUCUUGAUCACAAUUUUUUCUUUAAAAAUAUUUGUUCUCAGAAAAGUUUCUAUUCUUUGUGGAACAUUCUUAUUCCUUCCAUGAAAAAAUUGCUUGGAACAUAUUUUAUUAUUGAACAAUUUAUUUAAAUGAAAUAUUUUCUCAGAAUAUUUUUCUUGUGCCCACAUUUUUUUAUGUCUUUAUUCGUUGGCUAAAUAAUAAGCCCAAUUGCAUCGCUUUAGUUGGACUUAGUGGGCUGACCUAUUACCUACAUCUAGGACUUCGUCUAACUCCCCGGCCAAUGCUAUUUGUCAGUCAUUCAAUCUUUCACUCCAUACUUGGUCACCUUUAGAUUGGUUCUACCAAGAGGAUUCAUAGCCUUUUCUUGUUCUCGAGCUUCCUUGAGACCCAGACGCACAACACACCAUUAGAGUACAAGCACUAAACUCCCUCUCCCCUCACCUCUCCAAUUUAGAUGAAUCAUUUUGGGGCUUCUACGCUGCUUAAUUCACCCACAUCAGAUGGACCUAUAGGGCAGCAUAAUGAUUUGGCGUCUGGAGCAGAAUGGGGUGGUGAGCUGGGCAACGUCAUCCACCUGUACAUGUUUUUAGAUGUACUGUAGCAACACGCUCGUCCUAAUAAAUUAAUUACCAGCCUCCCCCCAAAAAACUUUCUUUUUCAGAAUAUCAAGCCACCCCGCGCCCAUACAAAUUGAAAAGGUUGCAUUGGUUGUGGGUGUUGCGCCCUCCCUUCUCUCUCUCCCUUAUCUCCCCCCCUCCCUUUCCCUUCUCUCACUUAUCUCUCAUUCCCUAGCUUCUCUGUCACUCGUCUCCUCCCAUUCCCCCCUCCCCCUAGCAGCGCGACAGCUCCUAGCUCAAGCUCAUAUGCGACUGUAAACUCGGCCGAUGUGUGUGCCAUUUCUCUGCUAGUUCCACAGGCAUCACAGGUAAGGACGAACCACUGUUUCUCUGUCGUAGACGAUGGCACGCAUGGCGACGCCGAUAAGGAUUAUUAUCGCCAGCCUUAUCAGGUUGUCAAUAAACAUUUUUAAUACGUGAUGUGUCAGACGACAUACCAGUACAUGCUGCAUACACAAAUAUAUAUAUGUCAGAAAGAUCAGCUGCAUAGUUUCAGACAGUGCCAAAGCUUACAACCGGUUGUGAUUUGGGCGAUGGACCAUCCUAUGCCACCCCCUAUAAUUUUCAAUGUAAGUUAAGAUUCUAUAUCAAUGAUCGGGGAAAGCAAGCACCACCAUUCUGAAACAUGGCCAGCAGAGUGUUCCUCCUCCUCGCCGUCACCGGGGUCCUUUCCAUCCGUCCGGCGGCGGUGGGGAUCAAGCAGGAGUCGUUCAAGGAUGACCCCCGCCGCUCCAUUCUCUUCGACAGGUUCAGCUCCAGCCGCCACGGUUGGGUGUCUAUCUCCGUCACCGGCGCCAAGGCUUCGUCCACGCAUCCCGAGCCAGACCCGUCGCAGCUAGGCUUCUUCCUCCUCUCCGACGAGGCUCUCUUCAAGGCCAUCAGCCUUGAGCCGCCGCUGCCCAUGGAUCUGUACCGCAACCCAGAGUGGUCGUCUCCCAGUUGCGUCCUCUACAGAGCCUACAUCAUAACUCUCUUCACCUUUGCCUACCUCGACGACGAAGGCCACUUCAACUGGACCUUCACCGUCACCCAUGCCAACGAGUACAGCCUCUUCUUGGGCAGCUGCAUGCUGGAGGCCAAAGUCACCAUGGAGGUCCAGACCCACAUCUACAACACCAACCCAAAUCAUUCCGUCGGCACGGCCUCCGUCCGCUCAAGCUCAUAUAAAACGUAUCAUGGACAAAUGCAACGAAAAGCCAGGAGAGCAUAUGCCAGUGGUUCCAAAAGAACAAUUUUUGGAUCAAACAAUAAAACUUGCUAACAUACCUGGUAACAUAAUUUCAGUUGUUACCUUUUGUCAUAUAUACAUACGUAGGUUUUAUAAACGUGCAUGUUGUUCUUUAGUGGGGUGUAAUUUUACCUAGUGGUUUCCUUAUUUUAGACACAUGCUUGAGAUGAAGCAUGUAUAAGUAUGAUGAAAUUCUCCAAAUUUCUCUAUUAUCACAGGUGUUUUCUUGACACAAGGCUUUAUUACUUAUUAGUAGAACAGUUAUUAUUUGUACAUUUAACUGAUGAAAAUAUCUAUCGCAUAUUUAAGAUCACGGCCGGUCCUGAUUCGGGUGGCAGAAAAUCGCAUUGCCACCCACUAAUUUCAUAUGCCAAGAUUGACUAUGAGCGCUAAGUGUUAACUCCAACUCCCUUCAGUCAACAAUACGGGUGCCUGUUAGAAACUAGCUCCCCAAGUGUUAGUACCAAGUGCUUCCUCCGUUUCAAAUUUUAGUUCGGUGUGGCAUUUCUUGAUAUAUAUAGUUUUUGCUAUAUAUGCAUCUAGAUAUAACGUAUAUCUAGAUGCAUAACAAAAAUAUUGAACUUAGAAAAGUUAAAAUAACCUAUAAUUUUGAACGGAAGGAGCAUUGUGAAAAAUAUGUGCGUAGUUAGCUUUAUGUACAUUUAUUAUCGUAUCAACCACAGAUCUGUAUUUAUUAUCGUAUCAACCACAGAUCUGUCGCGUAGCACAAUUGUGGACUCUCAAAAGGCCAUAGACGUUUGACAUCAGCUCAUACUCUGUCAGCCUUUCUAUCUUUCCGUUGCAGCCAUCGUCGUGCUGAUCCUGUUGUCCACCCCGCCACCCCCCCCCCCCCCCCCCCCCCCCGCCCGCAGAUGACGCCUGCGUGUUACUUCAUGAUAAUAUUGCUACUGCAUAAUCACGAUGUCUCUAUCUUAAUAACAAUGAUCAGGAAAAGAAAACAUCUCAUCGUUCAUCCCAGGGGACCAAAUUAUGAUUAUGCAUAUUAAAAUAGCAUUGUUUAGGUCUCUGAUAACACACGCCAUCUCAUAAAGAAAUCCUACAAGGCUCAUCAUGGAGUCCUUCGGUUUUGACCACGUCUAUCCAUAUUGAAGGCAAGUUAAGAAAAAACAUGGGAACUCUUGUCCUCCAGCCGUAUACCUCAUUAUUCUACUUGAAUCCGGGUUACCUUGGCCGCCAAAAAAACCACCAAGGAAUAUAGGUAAACCAUCACACUAAUUGUCCUAGACAGCCAACUGCCAAGUAGAGACAGCCUAGGAGAAAUAAUCUACUUGUCGGCUGACUACCAAGAAUUAUUUCCUUUGCUGUUUGCCUGCCGAGCUAACUAGGCAACGUUACAAAUUUCCAAUGUGUUAAGAAAAUAUUUCAACCGCUAACAAAAAAAAACUAACUCAAGGUAUCCACAUCGAUGUGUGUCACCAUGUAGAACACAUUUACAUGUAUGUAGAUCAAACACAUAGUUAAAAGUUAAGGUUUCAACUAAACACAUCAAACGCAUAGAGAUGAUAUGCAAAUGGAAAAACUAUGAAUCAAGAAAGAAAUGUUAUAAAGUAAUCGGUGACUAAAUUAUAUAAGGACCAGAUUUAGAGAAGUAUUUAUAUCAGAGUAUAGUAUUAGAAUAUGAACAAGAGAGAGCAAAGAUAAGUCAUACUGAUUUAGAGCACUUGCGCAAAUUGUCAACUCCCUUCUGUCAACGGUACGACGGUACUCAUUGGAAAUUAUUAGCACCCAAUGCAAGUAGUCAUUCUAUGUAUCCAAUUAGCUCUAUGAACAUUAAUUUGUUGGCGUAUCAGCCACAGAUGUCUACUUGCACAACUUGUGUAUACUCUGUCUGGUCUGACAUUGGGCAAACUCGAUCGAUCGUUGCCUACAAAUAGCGCAGCAUGUGUUGUCCCAACAAGGCCAUCACUUAGCUGAUACUUCUCCCCUGUUCCUCUAGGUACCCAAGCUACAUCGAGUCCUGUUGAUCAAUGGCUCCUGCUAAUGGCGCCGUGCUUCAGAAGGUGGUUCCUGUCGCCACCUGCAUCGCGCUGGUCCUGUUGUCCAUGGGUUCGCCGGCGAUGGCUGACAUCCAGGACGACUGCCGCGCAACUUGCCGUCCUCUCUGUGAUGGCUUCAGUUCGGACGUGUGCAAUGCCGUCAUUGGCAUCGCCCCUACUAUCCUGAAUAAUCUCAACUUCUUCUUCACGACGUGCAAAGUGAGGGUCUCUGGGCUGUGCACUCCCGUCUGCGUCAACGUAUGCAGCCUCAACACCCUGUCGCCGGGCGCCCCGACACCGGCGCCGGCCAGCACCGCCGCGCCACCACCAUGCAAGCCCUGAUGCUGCCUGCGUGUUAACUUCUUAAAUAUUACUACAUAAUAUCUAUGUAAUAAAAUCUCCUAUAGCUCCGGAUAUGUGUGCCAACUGCCGGCCAGAUGAAGCAUGGCUGUAAUGCGUUGUCAUCGGUGUUCAUGAGCUAAGCCUCGGAAUAUGUAUCUGAUCCGGUGUUUAAUGGGUGUAUAAAUUGCCCCCUCAUACAAAGGUCGAAGGUUCUGUGGCCCUUUGGAGAAAAGGCUGAGGCUUUCAAUUCAUUAGGUGAUAUGGUAUGUUUCACUUUCCCAAAGCAGAGGAGACUUCACUAGAUAAGCAAGAGAGGUUUCACCGAUCAAGCUGGAUGGGCUUCGCUUGUUAGAAGAGUGAAAGGUGUCAAGAAGUCACACGAACGUGUGUGGAGAGGAAGAGAAGAAGAUUCAGUGCAUAUAUAUGUCACCAUGUUGUUGGUAAGUUGGGUUGGAAUACAAAUCUUCUGAAACAAUUUUCUUCCAAACCACGUAUUCAUUUUUAAAACUGUUUGCACUAGUACAUUAUUUAUGGUUAAUUCAACAAAACUAUAUCGCACACAUAUAUAUUUUUUAAAAAAUAAAUGUAGAAAUGAAGCUUUGGAAAGUUUUCUGUUUACUUGAAAUUUUUAUUCUAAAUUUACUUUUUAUUCUCUCCGGAAUAUUUCUUUCUUGAUCACAAUUUUUUCCUUUAAAAAUAUUUGUUCUCAGAAAAGUUUAUAUUCUUGGUGGAACAUUUUUAUUCCUUCCAUGAAAAAAUUGCUUGGAACAUUUUUUAUUAUGAAACAAUUUAUUUAAAUGAAAUAUUUUCUCAGAAUAUUUUUCUUGUGGCCACAUUUUUUUAUGUCUUUAUUCAUGGGCUAAAUAAUAAGCUCAAUUGCAUCGCUUUGUUGGACUUAGUGGGCUGACCUAUUUGUUUAAAAGCACCUACAUCUAGGACUUCCUCUAACUCCCCAGCCAAUGCUAUUUGUCAGUCAUUCAAUCGUUCACUCCAUACUUGGUCACCUUUAGAUUGGUUCUACCAAGAGGAUUCGUAGCCUUUUCUUGUUCUCCAUUCGAGCUUCCUUGAGACCAGACGCACAACACACCAUUAGGGUACAAGCACUAGCGUCCCUCUCCCCUCACUUCUCCAGUUUAGAUGAAUCAUUUUGGGGAUUUUACGCUGCUUAAUUCACCCCCAUCAGAUGGACCUAUAGGGCAGGAUAAUGAUUUGGCGUGUGGUGCAGAAUGGCGUGUUGGGUGGUGAGCUGGGCUCACUCCUAUAGUCCAGGUAGGCUCCGUGCUCCCUGGACGAGGUGCAGCUGCUAGGCACCUAGACCUGAACAAGAGGGAGAGCAUGGAUGGUGGGUUGCUCCACUGCUAUAAAAAUGAUUUGUAGGGAGCUCCUAGUUCUUCUUCAGGAGUGGAUGAAAACUUCAUCCACCUAUACCUGUUUUUAGAUGCACUGCAGCAACCCGCUCACCCUAAAAAAUUAAUUUCCAGCCCCCCCUAAAAAAACUUUCUUUUUCAAAAUAUCAAUGCUAAAAUUUAAGCCACCCCACGCCCAUGUAAAUUGAAAAGGUUGCAUUAGUUGUGGGUGGCACGCCCUCUCUUCUCUCUCUCACUUAUCUCUCCCCUCAUCCCCUUCCCUUCUCUCACUUAUCUCUCAUUCCCUACCUUCUCUGUCACUUUUUUCGAAUCGAAACACAUCGAAAUGGUACCAGCCGUACUUAAUAAUAGAAGGAUUUGUCUCCUCCCCCCCACCCCUAGCAGCGCGCCAGCUCCUAGCUCAAGCUCAGAUGCGACUGUAAACUCUGCCGAUGUGUGUGCCAUUUCUUUACUAGUUCCACAAGCAUCACAGGUAAAGACGAACCACCGUUUCUCUACCGUAGAUGAUGGCACGCAUGGCGACACCGAUAAGGAUUAUUAUUGCCGGCAUUAUCAGGUUGUCACUAAACAUUUUUAAUACGUGAUGUAUCCGACGACAUCAUUGUACAUGCUGCAUACACAAAUAUAUAUAUAUAUAUAUAUAUAUAUAGUAAUACUAUAUGGUGUCCUGGGUAGCCCUCUCCCACCGAGCUGCUCGCACCGCGUUCCGCUGGUUUUUUCUUUCGGUUUUUUUGGCUCGUUUUUUCUUAGUCGAUCCCACGUUUCCGAACUAAUCUAGAUCGUGUCUCCUCGGUCCGUUCAGUUCCUGGCAUUGCCGGUUCCAUAGUCGCCGCCCUCGCUCUGCCAACCGCGGCAGCGAUGUGCCGACCCCGGCCGCGACUCAUCGCUGCCGGCGCAAGGUGCCACUCAUGCCCUUGGCCACCCGAUUCCAGCACCCCAACGCCGCUAGCUUGCAAGUUGUUCUCAGUUCAUCCGCACAUCGUCAUCUUCAAUCCAGCAUUGGAAGGACUCCGUUGCCUGAAGAACAAAGCUGCUGCAGAUUUCGUUGGUCUUCGCCAUCGGUGAGCCCCGCCUCCAUUUGAAUUCUGAGUUCGCUGAUUCCCAGCAAGAGAUGAUCCUGAUUUGAUCUCCUCCGCACCCUCCAAUGGAGUCGCCUUCUUUAUCCGUGGCCAGCCGUCGUAUGUUUCCUGCCUGUGGCUGAGCUCGCGCGCGUCAGCAGAUCACUCCUCCAAGCCUUCCUCCUCCCGCUGUCCGUCUCAAACACCUUGCUGGUCGAGUAUCUGCUCGACAAUCUCCCCGCAGAUGCUCAUCUCGAGAUCAGCAUCUUAUCCAUCGAUCUCACCCACCCAUUCCUCUCCAGGUUCGGCAGUCGGCACCAAGAUUCUGUGGUGGCAUCAAUAGACGCGCAUGUGGAAUUUCAGGUAUAAAAGAGUCUAAGUCCAUCUUGUUCUUUCAUUUUACAAGUUUUAUUUUCAAUCGUGCUGUCAAGCGGCUGGUUUGCUUGAUUUGUUGAUUGAGAGAUGGUUGGCAUGCUUUGGUCAUUAAGUUGUGUUUGACGGAAAGAUACAUUUAUUUGGCGAAUAGCAUGUAUCUCUUUGCCGAUUUAUCAAUGAAUUAAUUACUAACUUGUAUCUUUGAUAUAUAUAGUUGCACUCAGUUUUUUUUUUGUCGUCCUCAGUAAAUUGGAGCCUGAUGCAUCUCAGUCCCACAAUUUGAGCAUGCUAUUAGUCUGACAAUGUAUAAUUGUUCAAAGAUUCAAUGUGCAGAUCAUAUAUGCUGAGAGAUGUGUACUUUAGGAAGCUCAUCUUUGUCACAUUUGCUCGUUCAUAAUCUACUCUUACCUAGAAAGUUCGGAUGCAUAAGUGUUAUAGUUUUGUAUGAUCAUAUUGGCAGAUUUAAAAUGACCAUGUUUUAUUUGCAUUUUCAGUUACAGCUGGACUGCAGGAGCUUGGUCAAGUUGCUGACAUAUGACGUGAAGGUCAUGGCAGCAACCAGUGGUCAGCAUGGUUGCAGCAGGUUAUCGUGAUGGGCGACCCAACCGCACAGGCAUAAUGUAAGCCACCGCAUUGAACUGAACCGUUUUUUCACAUGGUUGCGAACUAUGAGCUCACUACACAAGAUUAAGCUUAUUAUAAUACGCCAUUAGAUUUGCAACUGAUUUGAGAUUGAGUGUUAGAUUUGGAACGGGACCAUAUGUACCCCUAAAAUGUAGAAUUCUCCAUUCAGAUCGAUGCCAGUAUCAUUCAGUGAAAUUUUGCCACUUGGUAAUGCGCAUCCACGCUCCUGUCAUUUUUAGAGACGAUCGAUCAUUUUUCUCUAAUUUUUAAUUUGAGGUGCUAAUCAGAAAAUAUGCUAAUAGAAGCACACAAAGCUUUAUUUUGAACUAGAAGGACUAAUGUUUGCUUUCCAGGAAGGACAGUAUGCAUUUUUUGAUCUGGUGUUCUUGAUGCUCUGUGUUGUGUUUCCGACCAGUUGAAGUGCAAAAUGGACAAUGGAUAAUAUAAAGUAGGAUUGAUUUUUUUACUUACUCCAUUUUCAGCUGUAAGAUUCGUAUGUGGAAAUGCAUGUCUGCUCCAUUUUUAGUUUAGGUUAGCUAGUUUUCACUAUAUGUCACAGUGAUUCAUAAACCUUUCUGAUAUCUGAAACUUUUCUAAUUUCGUUAUGUCAAAAGGACCAGCUUAGAUGUCUUAUAUGCAGUCGUACAUAUAUCUUUCUGCUAAGCAUUAUGCUUUAAAAUAAUCUACUUGUUCAGUAUCACAAGUCUGACUAAUCCUCAAUGGAGUUUUUGAUUAUUUUAUAUGCUUUUCUUUUUCAGAUUUAUUUGGGUGCACAUGUGCUGCUGCAUCUUAGAUGUAAGUACUCGUGCCUGAUGGAGGAUAUGAGUAAUGUCUGACGAACUUCCUGCAGUAACCUGCAAGACCCAAGAAGCUCCUCAAUUCUUUGGCAUUAGUUGGUUGUGGCCAAUUUGUAAUGGAGGUGAUCUGUCUCUGGCCAAAAGAACACUUGGAUAGUUUAACUUGCCAUUGGUCAGCAGCCAGCAAUUGGAGUACAGCUCUGAGGUGGGCAAGAUGCUCUUCGAAGGUUUUGCUGUAUACUAAGAUGUCAUCGAAGAAGACCAGAACACAUUUCCUGAGCAAUGGCUUGAGAGUCGAGUUCAUAGCGCCUUGGAAAGAAGCAGGAGCCCCACAUAAUCCAAAUGACAUCACCAUGAAUUCAAAAUGACCAAAGUGAGUUUGGAAGGCUGUUUUGAAUUCCUCUCCAGAUUUCAUUCGGAUUUGGUGAAAGCUAGAAUUAAGGUCCAGGGAAGAAAACCAACUUGCUCCAGACAGCUCAUCAACAAGUUCAUCAAAAAUAGGAAUGGGAAAUUGACCACGAAUUGUGAGUGUCGACACAUGGUCGCCAGGAACCAUCCUUUUUCUUGACUAGCAACAGUGGGGAAGAAAAGGGGCUAGUAAUGGGUCUAAUAAUUCCCUUGUCGAGCAUCUCUUGAAUUUGCUUUUCAAUUUCAUCUUUAAGGGCUGGUGGAUAGCGGUAUGGCCGAAUAAAAACAGGUUUUGCUCCAGGCACCAGAGGGAUGAAAUGAUCAAAUAGUCUAGGCGGUGGCAAGCCAUCUAUAGGGGCAAAGACUGCAGCAAACUCUGAAAGGAGGGCAGCAAUUUGUGGGGGGAGGUCUUGCCCAUUGGGAUCUGGUUGGUGAGAAGAAUCAAUGGGACAAACUUGAACCAUGAGGGUAUCUGGAUCAGAAGAGAGACCAUGCAGAACUGCUGAAGACCCAUGGUAAGGUAUGGACAUCCAUUUGAGUUUCUAGUGCACUUUCAUUGGGCUGAACUUCUCAAGCCAAUCCAUUCCUAAUAUAAGAUCAUAGUGGUCCAAGGGAAUAAUCUUGAUGUCAGAAACAAAACUGAACUCCUGAAUAAACCAUGUCCCAUUUGGGAUAUGGGCCACACAUUGUAAGACAGCACCAUUAGCAACCUGAACCCGAACAGAGUCAGACAAGGGAACCACCCAUCCAGUUUGUGAGUAAUGUGGUGACUGAGGAAAGUAUGGGAGCUGCCUGAGUCAACUAAAAUUUUCAGAGGUAUAUUCUGGAUUGAUCCUUCCAAUUGCAUGGUGCGAGGGCCCUCGGUACCAGCUGAUGUAUCUUUGGAGAGUGCUAGAAAGAGUUGUUCCUAAAAAUGAUGAUCAGAACCAGCAUAAUUGACACUGUCAGGUCCCUGGGUGACUUUUGAAUGGCGUUGAGCUGUACAGUAGCUGAACACUUGUGGCCAUGGUGCCAUUUUUCGGCACAUUUGUCACACAGUCCUCGAGCCCGCCGAUAAGCUCGAAGGGAAGCAAACUUGUCCAACUAAGACUUGUUGAAAUCUGUAGGAUGAGAGGCUGCAACAGUAUUGGAAGGAGACAUCACAGCCUUGUCAAGACGGGGAGGGGUUGGCAGAGGUAAUGGUCCCCUUGGCGGAGGUCUUGGAGGAAAUCCCGGUUCGAGACGACGCCAAUCCCGUCGUUUGUAAGGAUCCGCCACUUCUUCCUGCAGCAAAGCAAGAGUGCAAGCAGUAUCGAGAGUGGAAGGACGCUGAACUAGAACAGUGGAGCGAAUAUCAUCAUGUAAGCCAUCAAUAAAAUGAGUGAUGUAAUAUAGUUGAUCAAUAAAGUGGCCAUAAGCUAUGAGCUGAUCUAUUAAUUCAGUAAACUUGGCAACAUAUUCAGCAACGGUGCCAGUUUGCUUGAUGUGAAACAAUUGUCGGAUUAGGAGCUCUUGUUGGUCUCGCCCAAAUCUAUCAAUUAACAUAACACUGAAUUCAGUCCAGGGAACUGUUUUAACUGUCUGUCCACUGAUAAAGCCCAACGAGAGGCGGCACUAGAUACCUCAAAUUGCAUGACAGCAACCUUAACCCAAAUUUUAGGAUCGACGCGGUACAUCUCAAAGUAGCCCUCUUAUCUAGAUAGCCACAAAUUAGGAUUGUCAUCCUCAAAAACAGGAGACUGUAGUUUGGGUAAAUUGCGAAGAUGCACACUAUCCUGAUAGAAAUCGUCCUGAUGAUUUCCAUAAGGGCGCGAAUGCGAACGAGGAAAAGUAGGGUUGGGGAUGGGAGACACACCCUUGACCGGGAUUGAGGUAUGGGUGAAUACUGACCCAUACCCGUCAUCCCGGUGUAUUUGAUCGACGCGGUGCCCAUGAGGGCUGUCGGUGGUGAGAUCCGAAGCAGAUGGGCGCUCGGACGCCGACUGAGGCUUGGGAAGAGGCCGGGUUCCGUGGACGCAGAGUCGCGUACGGAACAGUCCCAAUGGCGAGUCAGCUUGCCGAGUUCAAGCUUGACGUCAUCGAUGGCGGCGUCGACCUGGGGGCGCCAUUCUUCGGAAACCUUGGACGCGGCCUCGAGCUUGACGAUGCGGUCACCAUGGAGGCGCUCCGCUUCCAGGAAGCGUUGCUCCCACUUGAGGUCGCUCUCCGCAAAACGCUUGUGGAGUUCGUCGGAGAAGCACUUGUGGAUUUCGUCGAGGAGAAUUUUGGUGUUGGGAUCCAUCGCUCCUGCGCGUUUCUGCAGUCGCGUGAAGUGGUGGUGGGGAGGGAGGGGAUCCAGGAUUGGGACUCUGAUACCAGGAUGUUAGCAGCCGAGUAGUGGGGAGGGAAUCGGCAGCGAGGAAGAAGAAGGAUAGGGAGGAACGACGAAGGUUUAGAUGAGUUUUGUUCUUGUUCUUGCAUACAUGCGCACAUCGGCGCCGCGCUGCUGUUUAUCUUCAGCUGAGCGCAUCACGCACGCAACUCACACGCGAGCACUUACAUGGGCCUUUACCACUCUGAGCCCGAGAUUCGGACAUUAGGGAUGAUGGGCCGUAGGGAACGGCGAGGCCCAGCUUGGACCUUCUCCGCUGGCUUGUCAGUAGCAGACGCAGACGCAGCAUGAUCAGACGUCUUGACACAAGCAUGCCAGCAAGCUAAGAACAGCUCGUCCUUAUCUUUAUCUACAUCCAUCUUGGGUAAUAUGUCGACCUAUCGAGGCUUCGCUACCAGGUCCUAUGCCAUCCUCCUGUGCGGCGUGUGGACUGUGGAGCACCCUCCUGGAGUCCUUCCCAGUACAAUGCUCGUGGGCACUUCAAUUUUGCGAUCUUCAACUGUUGAAUGCUCAAAAUUUCUCAGUGGAGGUUCUUAUAUGUUGAACAUGUCAUGUCACAAUAAUUUCAAUAUAAGCUGGCAAUCACAAAAUCAUUUUAUUCAAAUAGCAAUAGGUUUGUAUUUAAUACCAUGUCUGUCACGAAAUAUUUGUAUUCAAAUUAUAAAGUACUUGUUUUUAAGACCAGUGCCAAGAUGCGUUAGCUAAGAUGUAUUCAAAUUAUACGUGGAAAAAACACAUAGAGUUAUAUUUUAUUUCACUUGGUGUUAGCUAAAGCGAAUUAGCUAAAACAAAUAUGCCCUGCACUUCUUCCAUCUUGGCGAGCUGUCCUCCUGGUCUGCGUCUGGAAACCAGCUCUUGUUGUCUUCGCUAAUUCCGUGGCAUCUACGGUGGCACCGGCUCUAGGCACGUCGAGGAAUAGGAGGAAGCGCCGCUCCUCGUCGGCGUAGAGCUCACUGACGUCCACCGUGGUGGUGCUGCCCUCCUCGUCGACACGGCUCUCGUAGCGGCCGGACUUGACCGCGUGGAGGCGCACGCCUGGGUGAAGGCACUCGACAGAGAUGUGCGCCCUCUACAAGAUGAUGGAGAGGAGUCCACCGUCAUCAAAACUGCUGCUGUGCGGUUCCAAUAGAUGGCGUGCGCGGUGGAUGGCCGGUCGGUCUGCAGGUUUGUCGCCCGUCAAAAAAAAAAGGACGACGGUCUGCGGGGUUCGCUCACGUGGGACGGUGCGGGGAGGGGGACGGGGCUCGGGUACGAAAUAAGCUAUACCACCCCCUAUAAUUUUCAAUGUAAGUUAACAUUCUAUAUCAAUGAUCGAGGAUAGCAAGCACCACCAUUCUGACACAUGGCCAGCAUGGUGUUCCUCCUCCUCCUCAUUGUCGCCGGGGUCCUUUUCAUCGCAGGGCGGCGGCGGGGAUCAAGCGGGAGUCGUUCAAGGAUGAGCCCCGCUGCUCCAUUGUCUUUGACAGGUUCAGCUCCAGCCGCCACUGUUGGGUGUCUAUCUCCGUCAUCGGCGCCAAGGCUUCAUCCACGCACCCCGAGCCAGACCCGUCACAGCUAGGCUUCUUCCUCCUCUCCAACGUGGCUCUCUUCAAGGCCAUCAUCCUUGAGCUGCCGCUGCCCAUGGAUGUCCCACCCUUAAAUUUUUGAAUUUCAGGAUAUGAUUAAAAUAGAUAAUUAAACAAUAAUUUUCUCAUAAUUUUAAAAAUUUUCCCAACAUUUAUUUUUUUUCUUCUUUACAGGAAAUUUAGUAUAGGAAAAAUAAUUGUUUGCUUUUCUAAAUUAAAUAAUGUUGUUCUAUGUGUUGUGCAUUCAUGCCAAUGCAUCUUGGUGUUUCUUGAGUGCAAAAGUUUUAAAAUUACGUUUAGACGAUGUCUAGACCCUUCUGAGAAUUUUUCAGCUUUUACUGGAAUUUAUUCUCCUUUUUUCUAGAGCUAACUCCAAUUUUUGGAUGGUUCUAGAAUUCUUUUCACGAGCUUCAAAUAUUUUAUUUGGGUUUCUCAUAUCCCAAUCUACCUGCAGGAUUUUUCCUGGAAUUUUUGGGAUUUUCAAAGUAUUUUUUUGACUUAAUUGAUUUAUCUAGAUUUUAUCUAGAUUUAUUUGUACACAGGAAAAUAUUUCUGGAGAAAAGAAGAAAUCCUAACCCUAUGGGCCGAGCCCUUGAGGCCCGACCCUCUCCGGCCUGCCCAGCCGGCCUGCUUCAGGCCCAGCCGAGGCCCAUCUGGCCGUCGCGCGUAGGUGUUAUAAACAUGCAUGUUGUUCUUUAGUGGGGUGUAAUUUUACCUAGUUGUUUCCUUAUUUUAGAUACAUGCUUGAGAUGAAGCAUGUAUAAAGUAUGAUGAAAUUCUUCAAAUUUCUCUAUUAUCACAGGUGUUUUCUUCACACAAGGCUUUAUUACUUAUUAGUAGAACAUUUAUUAUUUGUAUAUUUAACUGAUGAAAAUAUCUAUCGCAUAUUUAAGAUCACGGCCGGUCCUGAUUCGGGUGGCAGAAAAUCCCAUUGCCGCCCCCUAAUUUCAUAUGCCAAGAUUGACUAUGGGCGCUAAGUGUUAACUCCGACUCCAUUAAGUCAACAAUACAGGAGCCUGUCAGAAACUAGCUCCCCAAGUGUUAGUACCAAGUGCUUCAAAUUUUAGUUCAGUAUGGCAUUUCUAGAUAUAUAGUUUUUUUAUAAAUGCAUCUAGAUAUAACGUAUAUUUAGAUAUAACGUAUAUCUAGAUGCAUAAUAAAAAUCGUGAACAUAGAAAAGUUAAAAUAACCUACAAUUUGGAAUGGGAGGAGUAUUGUGAAAAAUAUGUGGUAGUUAGCUUUAUGUACAUUUAUUAUCGUAUCAACCACAGAUCUGUUGCGUAGCACAAUUGUGGACGACGUUUGACAUCAGCUCAUACUCGGCAGCCUCUCUCUUAAUGUUGCUGCCAUCGUCGUGCUGAUCCUGUUGUCCAUGGGGCCCCCCGGCACCACCUUAGACGCAAGAUUGAUGAUUCAUGCGUGUUACUUCAUAAUAAUAUUGCUACUGCAUAAUCAUGAUGUCUCCACGUAAGAAGUGGUAGAAUUAUGUGCUCCUAAAAGAUUUUUUUUCUAACUUGGAGGGGGCCAUGGCCGACUUUGUCUAGUACUGAGCUCCGCCCCUGAUCAACUGCUUGCAGAUGUAUCUAUCUUAAGAAAUUAUAACAAUGAUCAAGAAAAGAAAACAUCUCACCGUUUAUCCCAGGGGACCGAAUUAUGAUUAUGCAAAUUAAAAUAGCAUGAUUUAGGUCUAUGAUAACACACGGCAUGACAUCAAGAAAUCCUACAAAGCUCAUCAUGGAGUUCUUGGGUUUUGCCCACGUCUAUCCAUAUUGAAGGCAAAUUAAGAAAAACCAUGGGAACUCACAUGGUAGCUCUUGUCCUCCAGCCGUAUGCCUCAUUAUUCUACUUGAAUCCGGGUUACCUUGGCGGCUUUGGCCGCGCCAAGGAAUAUAGGUAAACCAUCACACUAAUUGUCCUAGACAGCCAACUGCCAAGUAUAGACAGCCUAGGAGAAACAAUCUACUUUGGCUGACUACCAAGAAUUAUUUCCUUUGCUGUUUGGCUGCCGAGCUAACUAGGCAACGUUACAAAUUUCCAAUGUUUUAAGAAAAUAUUUCAACCGCUAACAAAAAAAACUAACGCAAGGUAUCCACGUCGAUGUGUGUCACCAUGCAGAACACAUUUACAUGUAUGUAGAUCAAACACAUAGUUAAAGUUAAGGUUUCAACUAAACACGCAUCAAACACGCAAGUGGAAAAACUAUGUAUCAGGAAAGAAAUGUAUAUAAAGUAAUCAGUGACUAAAUUAUAUAAGGACAAGAUUUAGAGAAGUAUUUAUAUAAGAGUAUAGUAUUAGAAUAUGAACAAGAGAGAGCAAAGAUAAGUCAUACUGAUUUAGAGCACUUGCGCAAAUUGCCAACUCCCUUUUGUCAACGGUACGACGGUACUCAUUGGAAAUUAUUAGCACCCAAUGCAAGUAGUCAUUCUAUGUAUCCAAUUAGCUCUAUGCACAUUAAUUUGUUGGCGUAUCAGCCACAGAUGUCUACUUGCACCAUCUUGUGCAUACUCUGGUCUGACAUUGGACAAACUCGAUCGAUCGUUGGCUACAAAUAGCGCAGCAUGUGUUAUCCCAACAAGGCCAUCACGUACUUAGCUGAUACUUCUCCCCUCUUCCUCUAGGUACCCACGCUACAUCGAGUCCUGUUGAACAAUGGCUUCUGCUAAUGGCGCCGUGCUUCAGAAGGUGGUUCCUGUCGCCACCUGCAUCGCGCUGGUCCUGUUGUCCAUGGGUUCGCCGGCGAUGGCUGACAUCCAGGACGACUGCCGCCCAACUUGUGUUCCAAUCUGCCAAGGCUUAGCUACGAAUGUGUGCAAUGCCGUCAUCGAUCUCAUCCAUAUCCAGCUUCCUGUGGAUAUCUUCCCGACGUGCAAAGUGCGGGUCUCUGCAAUUUGUGAUCCCGUCUGUAUCAACGUAUGCAGCCUCAACACCCUGUCGCCUGGCGCCCCGACACCGGCGCCGGCCAGCACCGCCGCGCCACCACCAUGCAAGCCAUGAUGCUGCCUGCGUGUUACUUCUUAAAUAUUACUACUACAUAAUAUCUAUGUAAUAAAGUGUCCUAUAGCUCCGGGUAUGUGUGCCAACUGCCGGCCAGAUGAAGCGUGCCAGUAAUGCGUUGUCAUCAUGAGCUAAGCCUCAGAAUAUGUAUCUGAUCCGGUGUUUAAUGGGAGUAUAAAUUGCCCCCUUAUUGUUGUGGUUGUUUUCUAGUUACUCAUCUGUGUGUGCUGUACUCUAUACUCCCUGUUGGGGAACCGAUCUCCGUCUAACCCCAUCCCUGCCAAAGUGUUAAGUUCUUUGUCUUUCAGUGUCUAGAGUCUAAGACCUUGUACAAAGAUCGAAGGUGCUGUGGCCAGGGGUAGUAAUGGAUCAUGGCCUUCAUGCCUCCUUCACAAUUCAACUUAGCCCUAUUUAUUUUUAGUUCAAAAUCAUAUAAUAUUAUGACCCGAUUCUUA
rnacentral:lncRNA from 1 species